CCUUACCAAUUUUAAACUAACAUGCUGUUACAAGUGGACUUCCAAAAAAGAUGGAGAGGAAAGGAAAGCAAAACUCAAGUGGACCAGAAGACUAUGCUGAACCAAACGGCCCCACCAGAAAGUCCAAAAGAGUCACCAAAAUUCCCAGCAAGCUUAGAGACUAGCAGAAAUAUCUAAAAGAUAAGAUCAAUGAGCUAGCUCUAGCUGUCACAGGGCUGGCUGUACCUGCAAAGGACCAACAAAUAAUUUCUUUUGUUUUAUUUUUAUGCAAUUAUCAGGAUAGGGACAUUUGUCAUCAGAUCCUACAAUAAAGGUCUGUUUGUAUCACUGAUGGGACCUAUAAGGAUCCUAGUAUUGAAUGAAAAGACUGAAAAAUUAAUUCCAAUUUCUGUCUCUCCCUCUUGGACUUUCCCCGUCAAAAGGGAAUUUAAUUUCUGCACAAACAAACUCCUUAUCAUUUGGUGCUCUCGUUUCUUGAACCAAUGCCUACACGUCAACAAAUUAACCCACCCGAACCACCAACCCUUCAACAGCUAAAAGACUCCAUAAAUACCCUAGCCGCCGCUUUCAAUGCCUUUAGUGAUAACCAAGACCAACGCCAUGCUCAUUAUAUUGACUCCAUUACCAACCUCCAAAAUCAAAUCCCUGCACAGAUCGAUGAAAACAUUCCCACCCCAACUCGCCAAACCGAUAACUCCAUUAAACCACCCAAGCUGCGCCUUCUUCCCUUCGACGGAACAAACCCUCUUGAUUGGCUUUUUCAGGCUGAGCAAUUUUUUGUUCAUUAUUCCAUCCCUCAAAAUCAGUGGCUCACUCAUGCUGCCAGUUACAUAACCGGCGAUGCACUAAGCUGGUUCCAAUGGAUGUUUCAAAACAACCUCCUCUCCAACUGGGAUUCCUUCACUUCAGCCUUGGAGGUACGUUUUGGCCCUUCAUCUUUUGAGAAUCACCAGCAAGCUCUCUUUAAGCUGAAACAAACCGGUUCAGUGGUUGAAUAUCAAAAAGACUUUGAACGGUUAUGUAACCGGGUUCAGGGUCUCUCUUCAGCUGCCAUCACUGACUGCUUUGUCUCUGGCCUAAAACCUUCCAUUCAAAACGAAAUCGCCAUUCAUCAACCAUCAACUGUUUCACAAGCCACGGGGUUAGCAAAACUUAUUGAAUCCAAGUUUGCUGCCUCACGCCUGUACCAAACCUCAAGUUCCAGAUUUACUCACACUAAACCACCAAUAUUACCAACCCCGCCACACAAACCGCCUGAUCCACCAGAUCUAUCCCUAUACGCUGCCUCUCCCCAAGCGAGCUGCAACUGCGCCGAAGCCAGGGUUUGUGUUUUAAUUGCGACGAACGGUUCCAUACCGGUCAUCGUUGUAAAACCAAACCGUUCCUGCUUCUGCUAAGUGACCAUGACCCUACAGAGUCCCCAAAUGAGCUAUAUGCCUUGUUAUCUGAUGAACUCACCCUUGAAUCUCCUACCACCAAUGACAUACCAGAACUUCCCACCAUAACAUUACCUGACACAGACCCUCACAGACCAGAAGAAAACCCAGCAAUGUUUCAUCUAUCCCUUCAAGCUGCAACUGGUCAACUUUCACCACAAACCUUGCGAUUUCAGGCCACCAUCAACAUCCACUCUGUCACGGUUCUUAUUGAUUCCGGUAGCUCCCAUAACAUCAUUCAACCUCGUGUUGCUCACUUCCUACAACUUCCAAUCCAGCCAUUACCUUCUUUCUCUGUUAUGGUAGGUAAUGGUGAACAUUUACACUACACAGGGAUCUGCAUUAACACACCCUUGCUUGUUAACCAACACUUGUUUCCCACCUCCCUUUACGUUUUUCCAAUACAAGGAGUUGACGUUGUCUUGGGUGUCCAAUGGCUCCAAACCCUUGGACCUUUUGUGUCUGACUUUUCCAUUCCAUCUAUGCAAUUUCACCAUAACAACAACCUCAUCACAAUCACUGGUACCAGAUCCAUUCCACUGUCACAAGCUUCAUUUCAUCAGCUCCACCGUAUGAUUACCACACCUGCUAUUACAACACUCCAUUCCAUUUACUUGACCCCCACCACACUGCCUUCCCAUUCUAAAACCCCCAACAUCAAAUGAACACACCAUACAACAAUUUCACCCAGAUAUCCAAAACAUACUCCAACCCAACCUUCACAUUUUUUCAAAACCAAAAGGCCUUCCCCCAACCCGACAACACGACCACCACAUCCACCUUUCUUCCGUAUCACAACCCAUCAACAUCAAACCUUAUCGUUACCCUCACUUUCAAAAAGAAACCUUGACCAAUCUUAUUUUCCAAAUGCUCAAAGACGGUGUCAUCCAACCCAGCACCAGCCCCUAUUCUUCUCCUGUCCUUUUAGUUAAAAAGAAGGAUGGUACGUGGCGUUUUUGCGUCGACUAUCGCGCACUAAACGUUAUUACCAUCAAAGACCGUUUCCCCAUCCCUACUAUUGAUGAACUUCUACAUGAGCUUCAUGGGGCAAUAUAUUUUUCCAAAAUUGAUCUUCGCUCCGGUUACCAUCAAAUUCGCAUUGUCCUGGAAGACAUCCACAAAAUAGGUUUUCGUACUCUUGAUGGCCACUAUGAAUUCCUUGUUAUGCCUUUUGGACUUUCCAAUGCCCCCUCCACCUUCCAAUCAGCCAUGAACGAUCUUCUCCGACCACAUCUUCGUAAGUUUUCCCUUGUAUUCUUUGAUGACAUUCUAAUCUAUAUUCCCUCUUGGGAAACCCACCUCCACCAUGUCAAUACCAUCCUCUCAUUACUCUCCCAAAACCAUUUUUAUGCCAAACUCUCCAGGUGUCAAUUCGAAGUAACUUCCAUUGAUUACCUCGGCCAUGUCAUUUCAGCCCAAGGAGUACAAGCCGACCCAGCUAAAGUGGAGUCCAUCAUAGCCUGGCCAACUCCAAAUAAUGUCAUUGCCCUCCGUGCCUUCCUCGGCUUAACGGGGUUUUACCAUCGUUUUGACCUCAACUAUGUCUCUAUAGCCCAUCCAUUGAUUGAUCUUCUCAAAGCUAAUUCAUUCAAUUGGACUUCAGCCACACAAGCGGCUUUCGAAAAAUUUAAACACGCCAUGUCCCACUUGCCCACACUAACCCUGCCAGACUUCUCAAAACCCUUCGAAGUGACCACCGACGCUUCCAACAUAGCAAUCAGCGUUGUUCUUUCCCAAGACUCUAGACCCUUGGUUUUUUAGAAAAAAGCUCACCCCUCGUCUCAGUGCAUCUUCAACAUAUGUCCGUGAGCUUUACGCUUUAACCGAGUCAAUUAAGCGUUGGCGCCAAUACUUAUUGGGCUCCACCUUUAAGAUCUUUACCGACCACAAAAGCCUUAAGUGUCUUAUGACACAAACCAUUCAAACACCGGAACAACAAAAGUGGCUCACCAAACUCGUGGGGUACAACUACGAAAUUCACUAUAAACCCGGCAAAGAAAAUGUUGUCGCGGAUGCUUUGUCUAGAGUUGAUGAGAUACCAACCGAGGAGAUUUGUGCAGUCAUUAGUUUCCCCACCUCCCCUUUAAUUUCAACACUACAUAAUUAUUUUUCUUCUAACCCUGCAGGUCAAAGGCUGGUUCGUAAAGCUUAGGAGGAUCCAAAGAUGCAGCAGCACUUCACUCACAAGGCCCAGCUACUCUACUUCAAAGACCGGCUAUUCAUUCCACAGGAUACGGGUCUCAUUCCUUCACUCCUUACAGAGUUCCACACCUCUCCAAUGGGAGGCCACUCAGGUGUACAAGCUACACUCUCUCGGCUCUCAGCUUCCUUUUAUUGGUCAGGAAUGCACAUGGACGUCAAACAAUAUGUUCAGGCUUGCGCCAUCUGCCAGUACAACAAAUAUUCAACUCAAAAAUCUUAUGGGCUUCUUCAACCGUUACCACUUCCUACUCAAGUUUGGGAGGACAUCUCAAUGGAUUUCAUUACCCAUCUUCCCCUCACUCACAACAAAUCCACCAUUUGGGUUAUUGUGGACCGCCUCACCAAAUUUGCUCACUUCAUCGCGUUACCACUGGCCUUCACUACUCCCACACUUGGCCCAAUUUUCAUUUCUGAAAUUUACCGGCUUCAUGGCGCUCCUAAAACUAUUGUCAAUGACUGCGACAAAGUGUUUGUUAGCCAGUUUUGGAAAUCACUUUUCAAACACCUCGGCACCACAUUGGCUUUCAGCAGUUCUUACCAUCCACAAACGGAUGGGCAAACCGAAGUUCUCAAUCGUUGUUUGGAAACUUACCUUCGUUGUUUUGUUAGUGAAGAACCUCGUGUAACACCCAGUUUCCCAAAAUCAAUUAAUUAAUAAUUAAACAUGCAUCAGAGUAAUUUCCAAACGGGCAUGUCACACUACAUUUUCAAAUUUUCUUAAAUAGAAUAUAAAAUCUAUUUAAUAAGCAUCCUUCAAAAUCAUCAUUAAUUUUGCAGCGAAAAUUUGCAUCAAAACAACAACAGCAACUAUUUAAAUCUCCAUAAUUAAAUCUUGGCAUAAAAGCCUUAUCAACAUAAAUUCAACAACCAUAGGGCUACAUCAGCAAUAUUCAAAAAUUGAUACAUAGGAAUGAAAAACAAUAAGAAAAUCCCAUCCCGUACGUAUCAGAGCCCUAGACACUUGAGCCACCACUCCUACUAAUCUUCAAAUACCUGCAAGUUACCCAUACGAAGGGCAACAUUUCCAAGCAGAAGGGGUGAGAUUUCUCAAACAAUAAUAAUAAGCAUAAAAUUCAUCAAUUACAAUUAACAACAUAGACAUCAUCAGAUACAUUCAAUAAUAAUUCUCCUUAACAUUCUCUUAGUGCUCAUGAAUAGAAGUCAACUUAACAUAACCCUCAUCAAGUACAUUUAACAACUCAUAGGUAACCUCAUGUAAUAUCAUAACAACCUCGCAUUCAACACUAUAGAAGAUCAUCAUAACCUCGUCAUACUCAUCAACAUAAACAACGUAAGAGUACACCACCUCUUAUAGACAACAACAAAAUAAGAGUACACAACCCCUUAGAAAAACGAUAAAGUAAGAGUACACCACCUCUUAUAAAAACGACAAGUAAGAGUACACCACCUCUUAUAAAGACGACACGUAAGAGUACACCGCCUCUUAUAGACACGACAAGUAAGAGUACACCACCUCUUAUAACAGACAAUCAAAGUAAGAGUACACCACCUCUUAGACAAACAAUAAAGUAAGAGUACACCACCUCUUAUAACAACGACAAGUAAGAGUACACCACCUCUUAGAAAGACAACGAGUAAGAGUACACCACCUCUUAUAAAGACGACAAGUAAGAGUACACCACCUCUUAAAGAAUAACAACGUAAGAGUACACCACCUCUUAUAAACGACAACGUAAGAGUACACCACCUCUCACAAAACACCUGAACAUAAACAGUCACCAACAACAACUUCAACUACGACUUCAACAACUUAUACAACAUCAACAACUUAAGGCUCCAAUACUUUGGAACGACAACUUACAACUUAGACUCUCAUAUGACUCCAAUAAUUUGGAUCAAAAUCUUACAAUUUAAACAACUUAGACCAACAUUAGCAUCCUAAUCACGACAGCAAAACAACACUAUUAAAUAAUAUGCAGCAAGUCAACAUCAACAAUAAUCAUCAAAUAUAACCAUUACAACUUCUUAUGAGCAUCUUUCACAAUAUAUAAAUCUUUCGUACAUUUAAUCAUCAAUUUAAAACCACAACAUUAACCAUCUUAUAACAACACAUGUUUAUAUAACACAUCUUUGUAUAGCACAUCUUUAAAUCUCACAUCUUUAUAUAACACAUAUUCAUAUAACACAUCAAUUACACUUUCAUAAAUAAAGCAUCAAUUAUAUAUGGUUAAUUAACACAUCAAUACACAUCUAAAAAUAAUUCAUCAUUAUUAUAUAUGACUAAAAACUAAAACCAAGAAAUUACUAUUAAUUUAACUUAAAAUAAUGACGUGAGCGAGAAGGGAUUAUGCAUCAAAUAAUGACUCUAUUCUAAUUUUCACUAAAGCUUCAUUUACCUAUUGUACCUAUAUUCUUUCGUUCCUAGUAAUUGUUAUACACAGUACAUGAACAAAGUUUCUGAGAUGCCAUAACCGGUUCUUAUAUAUAUAUGCUCUUAAUUUCAAAAUAAACAAGCAGACUUAGUUUAAUAGGAACAUGUAACUAAUCUCCUCGAUACAUGGUUUUGACUCCUGGUAGAUAUUAAUCAUAUAGACUCAUCGAUGUACAAACAGAAAACAACGAGAUAAUUAAUUAUAUUCAGAAGGAAUAAAUCUUGCAACCGAUUAAAGCAACAAUUAUAUUUAAUUAAAUAUAUGCAUAUACCUAUGAUUUCAUCGUAAUUCAAAGACUACAAAUCUAACAUAUAAUUGCAGCAGCACAAGGUACACGAAUUUAACAUUGAAUUUAUCAAAGGAUCAUGAAAAGCAAUGGAAAACAAAACCCAACACUACCCAAAAAAAAACACAACCCUAAUCCCAAAUUAAGAACAACUCACAUGAUAAAUCCAAUUUCAGAAUUAUAGAUUUAAGAUCAUUGAAUGAUAGUCUCACCCUUACCUUAAUUUUAUAGAAAGAAAUGCACAGCAAAAUCAGUUCUUGGCUCUACUUGCUCUUCUCUCCCUUUUCUCCCAAAAGUCUGUUUUCACGUAAACUGCUUCUGCCUUCUCUUUUCCUAACUUCCCAUUACAUAACUCCCCUUAUUUUUAUUUAACUCCCACUUAAUUCUAUUAAAUCCUAAUUAAUUCCCCACACUACAAAAUAAUACUAAUUUCUCACUUAAUCUAAUUAUUAUUAAAAUAAACUAUAUAAUAAAAUAUAAAACACCACAUAAUAAUAUAAAAUCAUAUAUAAAAAGACUUUAAAUCGACCAAUAAUAAUUAAAUAAAAUUCGGGCGUUACACCUCGCGUAUGGUUGCGUUUUCUGCCCCUCGCCGAAUAUUGGUAUAACACCACAUUCCACUCUGCCAUUGACAUGACUCCUUUCAAAGCCCUCUAUGGCCGGAAACCACCCAAUCUACUUCCAUAUACUUCCGGCAAGUCCAAAAUUGACUCCUUGAAUGAACUCCUCCACACCAAAUCUGAAAUCCUAAAGGUCCUGAAGGCAAAUCUCCUUAAAGCCCGCAACCGCAUGUCUCAACAAGCAAAUUUGCACCGCCAGGAUAAGUCGUUUGAACCUGAUCAGUGGGUCUAUCUGAAGCUUCAGCCAUACCGACAAGUUUCUGUCCGACAUCGCACCUCCCAGAAAUUGGCCAAGCGUUAUUAUGGUCCCUUUCGCAUUAUUUGCAGGAUUGGGAAGGUGGCAUAUGAGCUCGAAUUACCUUCAUCUUCUCGCAUUCAUCCAGUUUUUCAUGUUUCGCUUCUUAAGCUUUGCCAUGGUAAUCCCUCAUCCCAAAUUUCGCCUAUUCCUGACCCACAUGCUUACCCACCACCCAUGCCAAUACCCUUUAGUCUCAUAGAUCACCGCAUUACUGCCAACAACAUUGAAGAGGUCCUGGUCCAUUAGGAAGGUCAAUCUCCAGCUAAAGCCACCUCGGAAAAUAAGUCCUUAUUCCAAAAUCAAUAUCCUACUUUUAAUCUUAAGAACAAGAUUCGUUUAAAAGGCGUAGGCAGUGUUACAAGUGGACUUCCAAAAAAGAUGGAGAGGAAAGGCAAGCAAAACUCAAGUGGACUAGAAGACUAUGCUGAACCAAGCGGCCCCCCCAGAAAGUCCAAAAGAGUCACCAAAAUUCCGAGCAAGCUUAGAGACUAGAAAUAUCUAAAAGAUAAGAUCAAUGAGCUAGCUCUAGCUGUCACAGGGCUGGCUGUACCUGCAAAGGACCAACAAAUAAUUUCUUUUGUUUUAUUUUUAUGCAAUUAUCAGGAUAGGGACAUUUGUCAUCAGAUCCUACAAUAAAGUUUUGUUUGUAUCACUGAUGGGACCUAUAAGCAUCCUAAGACCACUUACAAUGGUUUGUUUAAUGGCACAUUCAACACCAAUAUUGCUUCCAAUGGUGUGUUUAAUAUGUGUUGAAUGAGGGAAUAGAAGAGAGAGAAGGUGAAUGGAUUCAACACCAAUUAACCCUGCCACGCAUGCCACGCGGCGCCUCGAAAUUGGCUGAAAACUGGCGCGUGCAACACACGCGCCGACAGGGCGCGUGAGAGGUCAGACGGUCGGAGAGAGAAACGCAUUUUGGAAAGAUAAGGACACGUGGCGCGUUUUAAUUGGUUGUCCGGAUUCUUAUCAUUUUCAUAAUUUAACCUCAAUUAUUUCGUUGUAAAUUAAUUUUAAAAAAAAAAAAAUUAUACCAAAAUUCAUGAUUUUUUUUUCUCUAUAAAUAGAGACUUGGUUCAUUUGAUUUGGACACAGAAAAAAAAACCAAGUUUUUCACUAUCUUCUUCUUAUUAUUAUCUUUCUAUUAGCAAACUAAGUGAAAUUUUAAUCUUAUUUUUAGUGAAAUGGAUCCCAAUAAUAACCAUUUCAACAACCAAAAUUAUUCUAAUUACCCAUUUAACUACGAAAAUCCCAACAAUUAUCCAAAUUGCAUUUUAAGCUAUUUGUGUGUUGCGUGCUUAGUUUGUUGUAUUGCAUUUUAAGUUAAGAAAAUAUAAAUAAAUUAUUUAAAUAAAUUUUGUUUUUACAAAAAAAAAAAAAAAUUAAGUGUAUCUUUAUUUUAAUUUAAUUAUAAUCGAUAAUUUUAAUUUUAUGUAAUUAUAAAAACAAAAAUAUAAAUUAAAUAAAGAAUAAGAAAUAAAAGGUGGUGGGGUAGGGUGUUGAAUGAAAAAACCAUUGGAGAUGUAAAAAUUGAAUGAGUGUUGAAUUAAGAGAGAUAAAAUGAUGUGGAGUGUUGGGAAUUGAAAAAGUGGGUGUUGAAUGGUAUUAUUGUGUUGAACCAUUGUACAUGGUCUAAUAUUGAAUGAAAAGACUAUGAAAAAUUAAUUUCAAUUUCUGUCUCACCCUCUUGGACUUUCCCUGUCAAAAGGGAAUUUAAUUUCUGCACAAACAAACUCCUUAUCACAUGCCAAAAUAUUCAGCCGUAAAGUCUAACCAUCACACUCAGUUUCAACACCACCACUCCAUAAUACAGCAAAAAUAAUUCAUUUCAAGGUUCUCAUAUAACUAUUUUCAUCCAAUUCCAUAGCAAUUUCUGUAAUCCCAAUUUAUCAACUUCUCUAGUUACCAUGAACUCUAAUAACAUACACUUACAAUUACUACAACCUUUAACAAUUUCACAAUUUCUUUAAUCCCAAUUU
rnacentral:lncRNA from 1 species